AUAAGAACAAUGUUCAGGAUUUGGUUCUCCCCUUCCACCAUGUGGGUCCUGGGAACUGAACUCAGGUGGUCAGGCUUAGCAGCAGGUAGGUGUCUUUCCUCUCUUGGCCAUCUUGUUAGUCUCUGUGUCUAAUGUUUGUAUAUUUAUGUCUUGGUUAUGACUCUCUGCGGAGAAAAUGUCUUAUUGAGGAAUUAUGCCUAUCUCAUGAGACUGAAUGAGUCAAAGGCAGAACGUCUGCUUUCCAGCUUACAGACAUAAAGCCAGUGCAGUGUCACAGCUCUAUCCUUGACCAGACAGACACGGAAGUCUGAAUGAUCAGGCACCAUGUGCAUUCUCAUCCCCUCUGCUACAUGACUGGAAACAUUUGUAGCUACGUGGACUGCCCCAGCUUUGCUUGUUAUGGACAGGAAGAGUGGCUGCCAUCUUCAUUGUCCGUAGGCAAGAGGAAGGAUACAUUGACAAAGGGCAGCUUCAUGGAGAGUCAGUGUGAUUGUUUCAAGAAACAACAUAAGCUUCGCACCAUAGCUGCUCUCUAGAUAGUCCUCAUCUCAGAACUGUCUCUAAGACUACGCCUGCAUUCCCCUAUCCAACAUCACACCAACAUUGAAUGAAUUCAUUUCCAGGUGAGUGACAGCUCACAAUGCUGGUGAAUUAUCUUCACUCCUGUGGAAAGGGGGCUGAGAGGUCUCAGGGUAGGCAACAAGUUAUUUGCAUCAGGUUAUUGGCAUAAACAGAUUUUUAAAGGUCUCCUGAGAUACCUGGUGGGUACUUCUUCCAUGGAUAACUGUUUCUACAGAGUAUCAGAAGACAGCAAAGACAUCCCUCCAAGAAAAGGAGGAGUAACAUUGAAGGCAUUUUGAGUCCAAUCAAAAAGAAUGCUUCAGCUGAAGAGAAAAAUCAGCACAUUUUUAGUAAAUUUCACUUGGUUGUAAUUUUAAAAAUGUAAGAGAGGAUGGUGCCCAGUGGUACCCAAGGCAAUAAGAGAUCCUGAAUUAUUAGACACCUGGCUUGGGAUCUGAGCAGUGCUAUUUCAUGGAUAAUAAUGGUGUGUGUAUAUGUGUGUGGCUUUCAUGGACCAGAUACCUCUUAGUCAGUUUGUCAGCUUUUGGCAAACGCGUAAGUGAAUCCAGCUACCAUUGAUCGAGCCUGAUCUAGCUCAGCUCACCCAUGGAUUCAUGGACUUAAAUCAAACUCAACUCUUAUUUUCCUGGAGACUUACUAGAUGCUAGCUGGCUAGGAAGGGAUGAGGGUAACUGAGACACAUCUCAUUCUCCAAGUGCUUGGCAUAGACUUAAUUUCAAUACAGAAAUGUUAGCACAAGAACAAACAGUAAAUGGUUAUGGAGACAAAGCCUUGGUUGGGGCCAUUUGUAACUCAGAAUCUGUGUGAUCAGUCCAGGCAUGGCACAUAACAAGAGCUUACAUUCAUGAACAGAGCACCCGGUCCCUUUAUAAGAGUGGCCUCAAUACUGUGGAUCAAAGAUGGACGGCUAUGGCUGUCCAUGCAACCUGCCACAGUAUAUAAGCCACUGCUGGCAUCCCAGCAGAGACCUAUCACUUUCCUAGUGUAGAGUAGGCUAGUGAGAGUUGAGUCCUAGGAAGGUAGGCUCUAAGGGUGAGAAGCUGUCUGCAGACUGAAAAUUCAGCUCCAGAACCCUUACUGGGCCCUGAGCUUUGGGUAUGAGGCCUGAGCUCUGGCAGUCUCCAGGACACACCAGCCUUCCCCUGCAUCUCUGACUGAUCAAGGUCAGGUAAUUGCCUGUUUGCCCCAUUUCUACUGUUUAGAUACCAGGACACCUCAAUUUCUCACUCUGUAGUUGAAAAUGAAUAGUCUUGUCUUCCCAGGGAGACCUUAUUUAUCACAAUGGAAAACGGCUCAUCUACCCAAGGUCACCGCUCAAAUUGAAACCUGAAACACAUCUAUAAGUGAGUCGCUGUCUCAGAGCCAAGUCUUCUGACAAGGCCAGGGCGACCUGCCCAGAGGUGGAACUGCACAUGGAUCAAGUAAAUGUCUCACAGACUUGCCCAGAGCCCAGUCUGACAGGUAUACUUUCUCUGUUGAGAUCUCCUCUUCCCAGCUGACUUUGGCUUGUGUCAAGCUCUAUCUAACCAGCUUGGCUAGUAUGCACAGGGUCUGGAAUGUGAACCUGUCUAACAUUAAUUAUGACGGCGUAGACCUGUAAGGCUAGUGCUCAGGAGGUGGAAGCAGGGGGAUUCAAAACUCAAGGUCAUCCUCUGCACAUAACAAAUUUCACAAAAUUUUGUGAAAUGUUCUUUCACAAAAAGAACAUUUUUUUAAAAAAAAUCCCCUUUUUGUUUGUUUGUUUGUUUAUCUAACUACCUUCUCAACUUUCUCCUUUGUCCCGACUCUGCCUUUCCUAGGAGAAGGAGCCAUUUAUGUGCGUUUGAAGUCCAGGAGGAAAAGGGUCAGAAACACAGGCAAGCAUGCAAGCUGGUGUGCACCGCUCUCUGUGUCUGUUUAUUAUGGCCGUCAGGCCUCCCAGGGAAACCAACACACAGUUGGCUGGAGAAGCCACAGCUGAAUACACUCAGGCGAGGAUUCCUGGGAGCCAUCAUUUCCACUGUAGGUUGAAAGUCAGAUAUUUUGUGUGGCUCUCAGCUCCUAGUUGCUUCUUGCUUUUUGAAAAAGAGGAAGUCAACAAAAUGAGCAAGUUAUUUCCAAGUGGAGUGCCUUCCUCCAGCUCAGAGGUCUAUGGAAAUUACAAAGUCCAGGGAAAGGAGCCUUGUUCAGAAGUUCCAAAUGUUCUUGGAGUGGUUUUUACCAGUCCUGAAAGAGCCCCACGUGACUCACGGAGCAGGACUGGAAUAGCCCCACGUGACCCAUAGAGCUAUCACCAAGUUACCUUAUUUGAGACUUUUAAUCCAAGCAGUUUAUAAACACAGGAUGCUUUCCAAAAGUGUUCCUCCCUUUCUCUCCCAUUUAUGGAAACAAAAGCAAAUGUUUUACAAGGGCAGAGACACUGAACUCUUCUUCUUUUGCUGGAUGCCUGAGGAGCCCUGGGAAAGUAUGGAGUAGGUAGAGAGGGAGGAAGAAACUGGACCCUGGCCAAGCUGGCCCUGCUGCUUAAUGGUGCCCCAGAUGUCUGAAGCAGCCUCAACAGAUGGGCCAGCGCUCUUUGUUUGAAUUUGAAAUUAUAAGUAGAAACAUAAGGCAGAUGUUUGCCUCCCUCAAAGGGAAGAAUAUUAAGAAGGAAGGCAUUUAGAGAAUAAGGAAGCCAAAGCCAUUGUCCUAACUUGCAUUGAAGUUUCUCAUUCAAAUCCCCAUUAGGAAACUGCCCCUCUCUAGUCAGAAGUUAGGGCCAUCGCUACCUUCUUUUGAUGGUUAAUGUAAGCUACCAACGUGGUUCGAUUAGUCAUCUAAGAGGCAUUCCUCUGGGCAUGACUAUAAGAGCAUUACUAGAGAUUUUUAACUGAAUACAAACCUACCAUGAUUGGGGGGCUCGGGACUAUCCAGAGUCUGGGGCUCUAAAUGGAAGUAGGCAAGAAAAUGAGCUGAGUACGAGCAUUCAUUUCUUCCUGCUUCCUGACUGCGGAUGCGCUGUGACCAGCUGCUUCAAGUCAAUGACCACAGCGCUCUCUCUACCCCAGACAGCCUUCCAUGUCAAAAUAAACUCCUUUUCCUUAGGGUGUUUUCAUCAUAGUGAUGGGAAAAAGAAAGAUAACCAAUACAUUGACCUUGUUUGUGGGUGACAGAGGAGACCCUCUGCCAAUUCGAUCUUGGGUUGACACCCUGGAGAGAUUUUCUAAAAGGAUAGUGUGCCCUCCUUUGGCUAACAACACACUGUAGAAACAGUAGGAAUUGAACCUUGGUGGUCAGGCCUGGUGGAAAGGACCCUUUACCCACCGAGUCAUUUUGCUGGCCCAGGGUGUGGAUUUCAGAGGUUAAUAAAUAAGAUCAAGACAGAGUGGCAUCGUUGUGGGUUAGCAAUGAGGCCUCUCUUAAAAAGAACUCCUGGAGGUCUUGCAUGGGCCCCUCUCUUCCCAACAGGCAGACUACUCUGAUUGCUAAAUGAAUUCUUCAGGGUCUAACAUGACAAAAUCUUUAUUGUUUUAAUGAGCGAGUCUUGGGUCUUUUGAUUCCAAUAGCGUCUGCAGAUGUAGGCUGUGGGAGUUUAUGUACUGCCUCAGGAGUGGUACUGUACCAAGCUCUGGCCUGCAGCUUGAUUCUGCUUGAGGGUACAGAUUCCUGUGAUCUUCCUCCAUUCACUUCAGAGAAAAGGCGAGCUGUAAAGCUGUUUUCAGAAAGACUACAGGAUGCUGGGACCACAGACCUAGUACGGUAUCUCUCAAGAUGACAGGAUCCCUAAGAGGUGGGAAUGACUAUGUCAAAGUUGGCUGUGCUUUAUACCUGGUGCACAGGUUUGUUCUCCAACACCAUACACGAUACAUCCUUCCUCUUUAUGGUAGUGCUGCCUCUGGACCCCACUUGACACUUCUUGGUGGUCCACUGAGGUUGAACUUGCUUUGAGACACAUUCUUCUUCUCCCUCCUGAUGUUCAGACUUGACUGGACCAUCAAAAGGCAGUUGCUUUACCCGUUCAUCCUUUCUCCAGACCAUCUUAUGAGAUCUGGCACUUUUCCUCUUGCUUGGCUAAAUGAUGACUGGACAAGGACAUCACAUCCAGUUCAGCAGAGUACAGGACUUUCCACUUGUUCCAGAAAAGAGGUGGGGAAAUAAUCCUACUCUCUUUGUUCUAGGUAAUUUUUAUCUCAAAAAAUUGUGUGUGUGUGUGUGUGUGUGUGUGUGUGUGUGUGUGUGUGUGUGUGCAUGUGGUGUUGGGUAAGGAUCGAGCUGAGUGUGAUGUCUUUGGGACAAGGAGAAGUACAUGACUCCCAUCUAGAAGGUUCAAUAAAGGCAUAAUCUGAGAGGUUAUUUCAUGCCAGACUCUUGAGAAAGAUGACAGAGAGCCAAGCACGUAGCACACCACAGUAGCACACAGCAGGGAGCAUUCCCUGCCUUGACUAGCAGAAGAAAAAUGAGAUGUUGUUGCACAAGGUCCUUUUGGAGUGAGAGUUAGAACACUGGGGAGUACGGUUUGCACUCCCCAGGAAGCAGCCAGGAAAGACUCAGCCUUAGAAUUCGAGUGUGGUUCUCGGAGACAAUGUUAAGCACCGGGCCACUUACUUGCUUAUAUCCCAGCUGUGGGAUUGCCAGUGACCACCCAUUUUACAUGACUAGAUGGCGGUUGCCAUAAGAAGCUAACAAAUCCUGAUGCAAGGGGCAGCUAGCAUGCCACUCCAGUGUCUCCCUCCCUCCUUGUGGGUUAUCUUCCAUCCCAGAAUAAAUCCUGAAAAUUUCAGUCUCCCAAUCUCAGCUGAAGCAUCGCCGUGAUAUGCUUCUCUACAAUCAGCUAAGAUCUAAUAACAACGACUAUAAAAUAUCAAGUAUCCAUAAACUGCUUGCUACAAAAACCAUGAGGAACUUUGGAGAGAUGGCUUAGUGGUUAGGAGCCCUGGCUACUCUUGUUAGAGGACUGAGGUUCAAUUCUCAGCACCCACAUGAUGGCUCACACCAUCUGUAACUAGUUUCAGAGAAAUCGAAUGCCCUCUUCUGGAUGCUCUUGGUACCAGGUGUGUGAGUGGUACACAGGCAUACAGGUAGGCAAAAGACCCUACACAUAAACAAAAUAAAAUAAAAUAAUAAGAAACUAAGGAAUCAAGAAUGGGCAGGGUGAACGUGGGGAACAUGGGUAAUAAAAACAUUGAAUCUUGAUAGAAAUUCUGAAGUAACUUAAACAACAGAACCUGUGUUGAGCUGGAUUCUGAGUGAAGAUUGAUGGCUAGAGACAGGGGCAUUACUUGUGUCCCAGGUAGACAGAAAUUCAUGAAUCUGAAGCCUCCAGAUGUAAGAAGUAAACAGAGGGCUGGCUCUGGAAAGAGUCACGUUCUCCAUGACUUACUUGUGUGUGGGCCUUGGUGAUACAGGAUUGUUAGGAGAACAGCUCUUAGAAUGAUCGUAGAAUCAUUCACCUGAAGUUGACUACGCCAGUCCACUCACAGUGCGAGAAUGGCUGAUUGCAAGGCUGUGGGAAACUCUAAUUAUUAGGAGGCAAAUUGAUUUACUGUCCUCACAAAUGUGUCUCCUCCUUGUAACUUCUCAGGAUGAGAAAUGACUCUUUGAGAGGAAAAAAAAUAGAGCUUUCCUCAGCAUGCAAAGGGUGAACCAGGAGCGGAUUAGUGAAGGGCAACUACAUCAGAGAGAGCCCGGAGCCAAGGGCAGUCACGUUACCCAACACUGCCACCAGAGCGCUCGCUCUGGUUCUAAUGAUUUAUUCAGCAUUUGAAACAUCCAGCUCUCUUCAAAUAUUUAUAACACUUCCUGGUUGCUUUGAGGCUUUUAAUAGGGCAGAAUAAAUCUGUAAGUAUUGAAAAAUUGUCAGCAAAUGGGCCAUAGUGUGAAUAACCGAAACGCAAGCUGUAAGGCUGUAGCCAUUUGCUUUAUUUUGGCCAGAGAAAAAUGUUGCAAUAAUCUUUUCCCAGCAUCACUGCUUUGGAUGAGUUUGCCUCUGAGUUUCAUUAAUCAGGGGCUCUUUAAUUACGUGAUAAAACUCCAUUGACAGGAUGAUGCUCUGUCCACUCAGCAAAAUGUUAAGAGAGCUGAUAUUUGUCUUUCUCUGUGUGCUGUUCUCACUCAGCCCAAGGCCUUGAUGGUGCCCUAAAGUCAAGGAGGGUUUCCCCUCAUCAGUCCGACCUCUUUGGAAAGAUCCUUGCAGGUGUAUGUCUCCUAAGUCUACUUAAGUUGAUGAAGAUUGGAGAUUGUCCCUCCACUGUGUGUGCCCCUCUGUCUCUAAUUCAUGUGCUUCGCAGGAUGACUGACCAUGUGACCGUCUUCGGGUCAGUCGGAAUGCAGAAUGCCCAUAGUUACUGUUCUGUUUCUUCUAACAUUCACCUUUCUAUAACUUUCCCACAUGGCUAAGGCACUACUACUCAGCUUGGGGGAAAAUAUAAUCUCCUUCAAUCUUACCCCCAUCUUGUCUUUAAGUCAUUGACUUAGUUAUGUCUCUUUUCCCACCCCUACAGAACUUGAUGAAAGAGAUACCUUGUCUUAACUGUGGAUCUAUUUGCAUCCCUUUCUUUCUGUGUUUGUGGGUC
rnacentral:sRNA from 1 species